rnacentral:rRNA from 1 species
UGCGUAGGCGGUGCGGUAAGUCUAUUGUGAAAUCUCCGGGCUCAACUCGGAGCCUGCAACGGAAACUGCCGUGCUGGAGUAUGGGAGAGGUGAGUGGAAUUCCCGGCGUAGCGGUGAAAUGCGUAGAUAUCGGGAGGAACACCUGUGGCGAAAGCGGCUCACUGGACCAUUACUGACGCUGAUGCACGAAAGCUAGGGGAGCAAACAGGAUUAGAUACCCUGGUAGUCCUAGCCCUAAACGAUGAUCGCUUGGUGUGACAGGUACCCAAUCCUGUUGUGCCGGAGCUAACGCGUUAAGCGAUCCGCCUGGGGAGUACGGUCGCAAGGCUGAA